AAAGUUUCAUCUAUGGGGUACCCAGCCCCUUAGAUGGAGGCGGUGGGCCUGGCUUCUCCUUGGGGUGUAAAGUAGCUUCUUCGUAUGGUAGAAAGUGUAAGAACUUUAGACUGACUUGGAUUCAUAUCCUGACUCACUCCAGCUGUAUGCAUCUGGGCUAGUCAUCCCACCUCCCUGGGCCUUUGGUUUCUCCUCUCAAAAAUGGGAAAAAUUGAGGCGCCUGGCUGGCUCAGUCAGUACAGCAUGUGACCCUUGAUCUCAGCUGAGGUUGUAGGUUCAAGCCCCACACUGGGUACAGAGAUUACUUAAAAAUAAAAAAUCUUUUGGGUGCCUGAGUGGCUCAGAUGGUUAAGUGUCUGCCUUCAGCUCAGGUCAUGAUCCCGGGGACCUGGGAUUGAGCCCUGUGUCAGGCUCCCUACUCUGUGGGGAGCCUACUUCUCCCUCUCCCUCUGCCCGCUGCUCCCUCUGUUUGCGCUCUUUCUCUCUGUGUGUCAAAUAAAUAAAUAAAUAAAAUCUUAAAAAAAAAUAAAACAUGUUUUUAAAAAAUGGGCAAGAUAAUUAUUUUAUGGGUUAUGUGGAGAAUCAAAUUAAUUAAUAGUUACAAAUUACCAAGUGAGGGUCUGGCACAUACUGAAGGUGUCGCAAAUCUAGCAUUUUAUUCCUUACUCCCAACAGAAGAGGCAGCCAGGCAGGAAUCAGGAAGCUCAGAGACACAAAGGGACUUGACCAAGGAUGCACAGCAGACCAGCACGUUCCAGAAUUCCAGCUUUGUUAUUCCAUGUUCUUGAAUGGGUUCGAGACCUCACGUUACAGAUGGGAAGACUGAGGCCCAGCCACCAGAGGCAGAACCCUGGGGCUUGCUCACCAGUUCUCCUGGGCCUGUCGCAUGGGUCGUGGACACCAAGGCUGG
rnacentral:lncRNA from 1 species